UAAGAAUCCGAAAUUCGAAUCCGAAAAAAUAUAAAUAAUCUAUGUAGUUUGGUUUUGAAUUUUUGAUUUUGAUGAUUAAAGAUUUCCCGCAUUAAGUUCUUCAAAUUGUACAAUAAUAUUAUUAGUGAGCCUAAAACUCUUUUAAAACAACAACUUGGUUUAACGAAGCUGAAAAAAUUACUCAAACAAGUAUACAUAUUCUUCAACUAAGUAAUACCAUUUCCUAAACUGUUCUAAAUCACAAGCAUUAUUUAUUUUGGUCUUCCAUGUAGCUUGUUACCAAGCACAGUCAAUGCUUUAUCUAUCAUCGGAUCAAUUAAUCUUAUAUUGAUAUUUUUUUCAUAUAAAUUUCGAUCUCUCAAAUCUAAAUCUAUAAUUAAUCUGCAUCGCAAUUUUGGCGCCAUGAAUCGAGAUACGAGACGCAUUCACUAACGACGCUAAGAAUAUACAUAGAGUGGUCAGCUCUGAUGAACGGUAUGAGAACUUAAUCCUGAGGACCCAUGAUAUUGCAUUCUGUGACAGAUAUUUUUUUGCCAAAUGGUAUGGUUAUGAACCGCUAUUCCCUAAAUAUGAGGCACACUAACCUGAGUGCCACAAGAUAUCAAGAUUUUCUACCAACAAUAUUAGGAUAAUAGAAAAAGUUGAUUUUUACUUUAUUUUUGAUGAAGCAUCAAUCGAAAUAGCAUCAAAUUUUUUUCAUGAUCUCUGUUGAUUUAAAUACAAGCAUAGUGUGCAUGGAUGGUUUGCCGAAUCAAAUUCUGGCACCCCAGCCACAUUUGUAUUUCAAAUCUAAGCAAUGUUCUAAAUCCAUCACCAACAGAGGAAUGUAUGAUUAAUAUAAAAAUUUAUAAAGCUAGAUAGGAUUUGCUUAAAUGGGUUUUCUCAAAGUUCAACAUAUGUAUAAAUACUUUGUAAGAUAAUUGUAUCUACAGAUUGUGUAAUCUGUGCAUUAGAAGAUUUGAAAGAUGGUACAAGAUAUAUAACAUCAAAAUGAAUAUAUACAUCAUUUAUUCAUUAUCUACCAAGUUUAGGACUUAGUUAUUUGAAACUUGUCAUUGAGUUGAAAUCAAUUAAACGUUAUAUUUUUAUGUCUCUGCAAAAUCUAAAAAUAAUCUGCUUGUUGCUCGACAUUUUAUGUGAAGAUUAAUAUGUUAAAAAAUUAAGAAGUUAUGAGGAUUAUCUCAAUGUCACGAUAAACAGUGAACAUAAUGUUAAUGUUUAGCCAAUAUUCACACGUAUACUAAAGCUUGGAUUUACUGGGAAGGACUGAACUUCCCCUCUCAAUCAUGAAAACAAACUUUAAAGUAAUUUCUCUCUCUACUCUCAUCUUCUCUAUGAUUCAUAUUAGAGCUUUAUUCAAAUAUUUAAAUUAUUUCUUGAAGCCAUAUAUUGCAAUUACUUCUGUUCUUCACUAACCAGUUUUAAUAAGCUUUAAAUUAGGUAAAUCUCUUAGUUUUGAAGAUAAUUUUGAUUUUGUAAAUAAAUGCUAAAUAUGUUAAUCAAAUGAUUACCUCACUA